rnacentral:rRNA from 1 species
CAGCCGCCGCGGGAAUACGAAGGGUGCAAGCGUUAAUCGGAAUUACUGGGCGUAAAGCGUGCGUAGGCGGUUUGUUAAGUCUGUUGUGAAAUCCCCGGGCUCAACCUGGGAAUGGCAAUGGAUACUGGCAAGCUAGAGUGUGUCAGAGGAUGGUGGAAUUCCCGGUGUAGCGGUGAAAUGCGUAGAGAUCGGGAGGAACAUCAGUGGCGAAGGCGGCCAUCUGGGACAACACUGACGCUGAGGCACGGAAGCGUGGGGAGCAAACAGGAUUAGAUACCCGCGUAGUCCCUGUCUCUUAUAC